AUGGAAGCUCAUCAAAACUAGGACUCCCUGAUGGAUGGGAGGCAGAGCAAGGUCGAUGAUGCAGGUCUUCUGUGUCCCGGGGACGACUAGCCUACAUAAAUGGGAGAUGCAAGGAGAGAAGGCGAGCUCUGGAGUGAUCAGCAGCUCAAUAUGCGCCAGGAGGAAGUCGGGCUUUGGGAGCCAGCAGAAACAUCUGUGGAUUUGCUCAUGCCUUAAUGAGCUGCGUGAAGAAAUACUCGUGUGAGGGCCUCAUCUGAACGUUUGCUUUAUCGCAAGGGCUAUAUUAAGCAUCUCGAUGUUUUUCACUCCUCUUUCGACUCACUUUUUUGUUCUGUUUCUAUCUAUCAGCACUCCAUGGUCUCCCCAUGCGUUACGUUGAGUUGCUGAAGCUACCUCUGUGGUGCCAUCCCAAUCCUUGCUCGCUCCAAGCGAGUCUGCUUAUUUUUCCCCUCUGACUAAAUUAGUCUGGUCAGAAAAUGGCUCUUUUCAGCACCCAUUUGUGAUGGUUUUUAAUUUCUGUAGUGAGAUAUUUGCAUUGGAACGGUGCAUGGAUGGAUGCAAUUGGACACUGGUAGAAAAUUAUUUUAUAGCAAGACCAGUUUAUACCUGAUCCAAACCGGGUGCUAGCAGCUGCUGGUAUUGCAGGAUGCUCCGGGCGAGUCAGGGGUGCAGGCAGAGACUCUGGGGAGUCACACCCCAACCUCGUACUGCUGGCCAACCUCCCGAGCUUCUCUCCACCGAGCUCCUAGAAACGACCACAAGACAAGCCAGUGGCAAGUGGGUGGUGAAACUGAGGAAUGUAAGCCCCUGUCAGAAAUGUUAAACUAAUAUGUUUCGUUUUACAUUUGCAAUGGGCUAAGACCAUACUAAGCUAGCUGACAUGUGAUAACUAGGGCCAGGCCUUUGACCGCUGAUCCCUUAACUCUCACUCGCUUUGGGUUUUGUCAGGGCCACCCUAAACUUUACUGAAGUCAGAGAAAGCACUGAUGACUUUCAGCGAUCUUUAAAUUAGAUCUUUAGCACCCAUCGUACUAGCAUCUGUACAGCUGGGAUCAGUGCCAGAUUUUUGUCUUUUCUGUUAAGCAAGUAUAUUUGGGCACUACAAAGGAAUGGAAAUAACAAGGAACUUCUGCUCUACUGAAAUAAGAGGUGCAGCAUGUCUCUGGAGCAUCCUAGCAAUAGAUAAAGGUUAAACUGGGAAAAAUAUUCUGACUAUGUUUCAACUCCUUUGUCUAUAUUUACAG
rnacentral:lncRNA from 1 species